GCUCCAGUGGCCCAGUGGUAACUCACCCGCCUGCAGUGUGGGUGACCCAGGUUGGAAUCCCGCCAUUGGCA